AUCUUGACGACUGGAGGUUUUGGCACUCCCUAAGAUUUGCACCCAGGGCAAAUGUCUCAUGGGCCUCACCCUGGUGUGGCUCUGCCCUUCUGAUUGAUAGAAGCGUGAGAAGGAGAGGUUGACCAGGAUCGUGGGCUAUCCUGGGAACUACCUCGCGUGCCCCAGGAGUACGACUUGAGUCCUGUCCCCGCACUGCCCUUGAUCUGCUGUGGGACUGUGAGCAGGUCACUUCGUCUCCCCAUCUGUAACAGGAGAGGGAUGGUCUUUGGAAGAUUUUCUAAGGCCAUGUUUAGUCCUGAUUGUAUUUUGUAUGUCUUUGUUAAUUUUAUUGCGCUAAUCAUCUCUUUUAUGUUGAAUUUUUAAAAAAUAUCAUUGCAUGAUGAAUUGAAACAGAAAAAAAAAAAGCAAAUAACAGCCCUCUGGGCCUUCACCAGAGAUGAUUUAGGACAGUGCUUCUCAGGGGAAGAUAUUUCCAUUUGGGGCAUCUUUUAUCUAGGCUGAUAAUAGUGAGAUGCCAGGCAUCAUAUUAGGUAGUUCAUAUUAUUUUUCCUAAUUUCUACGAAAAUCCACUAAGAACUAUUAUAUACAUUUUACAGAUAGGGGAAACAGACCUAGCUGUUAGCUCGUUCUAUCUAUUUAACUUCUGUCCAUUGAUCGUAAUUUCCUGUACCUCCUGGAAAGACGUUUUAAAAUGUGGCCACCUCCUGUUUUAAAAAUUUUACACAAAGCUAAGAAUACUGUUUAGGGAACUCCUUCAGGUGACCUUGGAUAAGCUGUUCAACAUUCUAGCUGCUUUGGUAUCUGCCUGUGACAUAGACUUGGGAGAGAGCAGUGGUCUAUGUAGUCAGGAAACCAGUGACUCAAUUCUGGGCAAAAAGCAAACAGCUCUUGGAAAAAUGAAACAACAAAGUCUGGACUGUGUAAACGCGUGAUAACUCACCAAGCGCGCAGGGAGUGUUAUCUAAUCGAGAAAAACAGGGCUAAGAGUCACAUUCCAGUUUUUAUUUUCCUCUAAGCUCGGGCACCGAUUCGUAACCUCGUGAUAGCUUUUGCUCCUGGCGCACGUGGAGCCAGUAAUAACCAAAGGGACAGAUGGAGGCCGGCGCUCAGGGCCAGCUGGGAGGGCUGCCCUGGGACCGCACGGCUCUCGACAACCCUCUCCUGGGUCCCUUUUGAUUUUCUGGGGAACCCAUGGCAGCCACCUUCUGUAUCUGUGUUUCAGAUUGUUCUUCAUCCAUAACGCCUGUUAAUCAUAAGGCCAUUCCGAUCACGGAAUCCAGCAAGGACUUUGGAUUAAGGUGGAAAAAUACAGCAUCAUGGCAAAGUUCGUGGUUCUUUGACCAGCCCGAGAGAACAUCUUCCUGUCCUUAUAGCUCAUUCCUCCAUGACACAAGAGGUUGCCCGCGUCCUGUGGGGAUGGGUGCAGCAGUUUUUCUGGGCAACCAAGGCACCUGUGUGUCGUGCAGGGUUGGGGGUGGUCCCUGCUGAUAGGGAACUGGCCCGGACUCCGGGCUCACGCUGGUCCCUGACUCGUGGUUGGGGCACGGGACAGCAGCCAUUUCGAGGGGAGCUUCAGGAAGGGCCUGCGUCUCCAUAGACCCCCUGGUGCCAAGUCUCUUCAUCUUCGUAGGUUUAAGAAACGGAUGUAAGCUGUUCACCAGGAACAGUGUCGUUCUAACCACUCCCCGUGAGAGACGGAUUUCUCAGCCUGUCUGCAGGUGUCCUGCUGACCGGCGGUAUGUUUGUGAGGUCGCUUGCCUCUGCUCUUACGUGUGUCACGCAGUGAGCCCUUGCUUGGGACACAGGCAAAGGGGGUGAGAUGCACCAGUAGAGGGGCCGGCCUCAGAUGGGCCGUGGGACGGGAAGGAGCGGGCACGGACAGAUGCAGGCCAGGAGUGUGGGGGUCCUUUUCCGGUGACUAGGAAGCAAUGCUACCAGCUGAUGGAGUAGAGGCGUGGGUUUGAGGGGAGAUGAGAGCUGUGAGAGCCUCAAACAGGAGUGGGAGGGUGGCGCCCAUGGGGACAUUUGCCCGUACAAACAGAAGUGUGCUGUAGGUGACGUGCUGUACCUUUUCAGCUCGUCAAUAUGUCUCGAAGGUUGUUCAUACUAGCUUAUGGAAAGCUGCUUUGUUCUUGGGAAUGGCUGCAUAGUAUUCCAUUUUAGAAACACUGCGUAAUGCAUUAUGAUGUAUGAUUUAUUACAUUACAUCUACUUAACUGUCCCCUAUGAAUGGAAAUUUUGGUGGCUUCCAGUGCUGGCACGCUCAUGCUUGUCACCUCACACAUUUUGCCGUGUUUGGAAGGACGCACACUGAGAUAUGGAAUUGCUGGAGCAAAGCGUACGACCCUGAUGGGUUUCAGUAGACAGGUGGCUUGUCCUCAGAGGCGAUCCGUGUGCUCUCAUUGGCAUUUCCUUCCCGGUUACCCCCCGGUGCAGAAUCUGCUGGUGCUUCGGCUCAUUGUCCUAUUGGGUGGUAGGUCCUUUCUUAUCUACUCAUGGGAGUUCUUUAUAUAGUGGAAAGAUGUUUGCCGGGGUCACAAACAUUUCUUCCCAGUCUGUCUUUUGACUUUGUUUAUCUUGCCUUUUUUUUUUCACGCGGGAUUUGCCCCCCCCCUUUUUAUAUAGUUUGUUUUUAUUAAUUUUUCACGGCUGCUGGAGUCUUCUGUCUUAUUUAGAGAAGUGUGGUGGCAGGAACGUGGGCUCUGGGAUCAGACCCGUCUCUGCCACUCCCUGGCGGUGUCACUGCAGGCAGGUUACACAGCCCUGUAAACACGGGGACGAGAGCGUCUGGGGGUGUGGAAGCACCUUCACCUGGGAGAUGCUCAGUAAACGCUAGUCCCCUGCUUCAUUGUCAGUCCCAAAAGCAGAGCACACAGCAGUGGCAUGGUCAGCGCUGUUUGCUUUCCAGAAUUCUUCCGGAAUAUUGCAAAAUAAAAAAAAGUCCAUAAUUUCCUGGGCACAUGCCCUGUGGCCCUCUGAAUUCCAUCCAGCCUGCACUCAGAGGAGACACUCAGCCCAGAGGAGAGCGAAUUUCCUAGAAGUGCCGUUCCGAGGUUCUGCAGGCCCAAAGACUGGAGCAGUGCAUUUCAUGGAGUGGCCCUCAGGCACUUGCUCAGAGCCCCCGGGAGCCUCCCAGGCUCCUCCCCCAGCCCUGGUUGGGCAUCUGGGGCAGACCACGUGCACAUGUGAAGCUUGAGAUCCCCUGCACUGACCCUUCCUCCCAUCCUU